AUGCAAGAGAUAGGUAAACCAAUCGUGGAGAAUACUCGUUCCUGCAGAUGUGAAUGUCCUGCUUUAGUUAGGCUGCUGCGGUCAAAGGAUAAUGGGUGGUAUAUAGCAAAGCUCCGUGACGAGCACAACCACUCACUAUCGCCGACAUAUGGGCAGACAUUGCACUGGCCAUCCCACAAACAUAUCGACCUAUACAGCAGAGAUUUGGUGAAGCAGCUGAGGGAGAAUAAUGUCAACAUGUCGAAGGUUUAUAGCAUCAUAGGGAGCUUCUUUGGUAAGAUGGAGAAUGUUUCGUUCAUGAAAAGAGCACUGCGGAACUUGUGUGGUAAGAUUGGUCGUGACCAGGCAGAGGAUGAUGUCCGGAAGACAAUGGAGGUGUUCCAAGAGCUAGGUGCGAAGGAUCAACAAUUCACAUAG
rnacentral:rRNA from 1 species